GAGCUAUACAUGCAGUACUCACCAGCUGCCCAGCUGGAGAUGGUUCUAUUGUGACACAGAGAAAAGCUGGACUGAGAAAGCAGUAAAUAUGAACAACCAGGCUUCUAGAGGUGGAGUCAUAACAUGGAUACGUGUUUCCUGACUGUUUUCUCUCAGGGAGACUAUGACUUGGAAUUUUUCUGCUUGCAUUCACUUUGCUGAAGUCUGACAGAUACGGGGGUACAUGUGCAGAUUUGUUACGUGGAAAAAUUGUGUGAUGCUGAGGUUUGGAGUACUAAUCCCAUCAUUCUGGUGAUAAUCCUACUCACUUUCAAUGCUCACCUGGAUAGGUCAGGACCACCAAGAUGGGAAAUCACACAUCCAUGCUGCGGAAUACACCCCUCGGAUACAUCCUCAACAACUGGAAGAAGUUUGGCCCCAAAACUCUAAUAUGAAAAGGGCUAAUAUUUUUUCUGUAAUGCAUGCUGGGUUGAAUAUAAGCUCUGGAACCAGGAAUCUUGGCUAGAAAAUGGAAGAAUAACUUUUAAUACAAUCUAUCAACUAGAUUGCUUUGUCUCCAGAAAGAAAAAUUGACAGAAAUUCCCCAUCUACAGACCUUCAUGGCCUGAAGAGACAACCCUGACCUUUUUCAGGCUUGCAAAAUGGAUCCAGCAAUGGUAGAAACCAUGGUCAGGCAGCUUCUUUGGUUGGCUCAGGAAACCUCUUAUUGGGUUUACCCAAAGUUCAAGCCCUGGAGGAACAAAGAGCACAGCCAAACCCAAACCCCACUGUUCCUUCUAUCCCAUUAUUUCUAAGUAUCUGAGCCCUAGACCCUUCCCCUCUGUACCCAGGACCAUCCUCUAUACCACUCCCUUAAGUUAUGCCCCCUUCAAGAGGUUAGUGACCCCAGUGGACCCACUAGAGUCCAGACCUAUUCAUUAUGCAAAACCUGAGCCAAACUAAAAUGGAACUAGGGAAGUUUAUGAAAGUCACUGACAAGUACAUCAAAGGGUUCUGUAAACUGGCCUGCACAUUUGAACUCGUCUGGAGGGAUAUCUCAGUCAUACUAGAGAAGCCUCCAUGUAAAGGAGAAUGUGACUCCAUUAUGGAGGUGGCUCAAUAAUUUGUAAAUGCAAUGCAUAUGACUAACCUUGGUGGCUACCCUGUAGGGGGCCAUCACGGUUCCCCAGGUUGACCCAGUUGUGAUCACAAUACUGAGGGGGUAUAUGGAGAAGGAACCACAUGUUCCUGUGUUUGGUAGAAGAAAUGAAAGCUAGAAGAGCAAAGCCUGUGAAUUAUAAUAAAUUGGUCUUAAUAGAUCAAGCCCCUCUUGAAAACCCCACCACUUUCCUAGAGACGCUACAAGAGGCCCUAGUGAAGCAUACCAAACUAAACCCAGAGAAACCAGAAUGGAAAUUGAUCCUAAAGAACCAUUUCCUAACUCAGGAAUCCCCAGGUAUUUUGGGGAUUCCAAAACCUAGCACUGGGCCCCAACACUCUUAUGCCUGAAAUCCCCAAAAUAGCUUCCUCAGUCUUUUACAACCAGGACCAGGAGAAAAAGCAAAGAAGUCAGAGAAAGGAAAGGUGGAAAGAAAAGCAGCAUCUCUAAAUAUUGGCUGCCUUAUAAGUCCACCAGCCCCUCCAGGUUGCCCUCAGAAUUCCCUCCUAGGUAACUGCCAUUAUUUCUCUCCCCAGUGAACUGCCCCUUUUCAUAUACACCAAAGAAGAAAUAGACUGGGGCACCCAACAUGGGUGUAAAGAAAAAAAAUCAAUGAUUGGUGCAAUUUAGGAGAACUCCUCCAUCUACCUUAAAGUCUCCCAAUAGAAAGUCAUCAGGAGUUACAAGACUACUACCAUCUUGGAAAGAAGAGUCCAGGACAAAUUUGUAAAUGGGUAUUCAGUGGGAAGUGACUGAACAAAACCAUUCAACAGAUUUGUCAAGCCUACAUGUUAUGAACCAUAAAUAAUCCCCAGAGAGGGAACCCCUCUCACUAAUAAGUCCAAUUCAAAGGACAGAUACAAAAGCUUAGGAGACCUGGCAGAUGAACUUUACCCAGCUCCCUGAAUGCUGCAGGUUUAAGUACUUCUUUGUCUGUGUAUAUACCUUCACAGAAUGGGUAGCAGCCCACCCCACAAGGGCUGAAAAGACACAGGAGGUAACUAAAUGCCUCCUAAAGGAACUUAUUCCCUUCUUUGGGUUCCCCAGGUCAUUGCAGAAUGACAAUGGUCCACCCUUCAUUUCCCAAGUAACUCAAUAGGUUAAUAGUGCUCUAGGUAUAAAGUAGUACCUUCACUCUUCCUCGAGACACCAUCUUCAGGAAAAAUGGAAAGAACUUACCAAACCUCAAAUGCACCCUUAAUAAACUCUGUUAGGAAACAGCAUAGCCAUGGGUGGAUCUCCCUCACAUCCAUAUUGCCCCUAAGGCUCCCUUGCAAUUAAGCCCCUUCAAGGCCCUAUAUAGCAAGGCAUUUCUAAAGUUGGACUUACUACUUGUAUUAGUCUAUUCUUGCACUGAUAUAAAGGACUACCUAAGACUGUGUAAUUUAUGAAGAAAAGAGGUUUAUUUGAUUCAUAGUUAUACAGGCUUAACAGGAAGCAUCACUGAGAGGUCUCAGGAAACUUACAAUCAUGGCAGAAGGUGAAGGGGAAGCAGUCAUUUUCUUUACAUGGCAGCAGGAGAGAGAGAGACAGAGAGAGAGAGAGAGAGACAGAGAAUACCACACACUUGUAAAUCAUAGAUCUCUUGAGAACUCACUUAUUAUCAUGAGAACAGCAAGGGGGAUAUCUUCCCUCAUGAUCCAAUUGCCUUCCACCAGAUCCCCCUCCUCCAAUUCAACAUGAGAUUUGGGUGGGGACACAAAUCCAAGCCAUAUUAUUCUGCCUCUGGCCCCUCUCAAAUCUGAUGUCCUUCUCACAUUGCAAAAUGCAAUUGUCCCUUUCUAACAGUCCCCCAGUCCUUAACUAAAAAGCCCACAGUCCAAAGUCUCAUCUGGAAAAAGGUAAGUCCCUUCCACUUAUGAGCCUGUAAAAUCAAAAACAAGUUAGUUUCUCCAAGAUACAAAGGGUUACAGACAUUAGGUAAAUGCUCCCAUUCCAAAAGGGAGAAAUUGGUCAAAACAAAGGGGCAACAGACCCCAUGCAAGUCUGAAACCCAGCAGGGCACUAAUUAAAUCUUAAAGCUCCCAAACAAUCUCCUUUGAUUUCAUGUCUUACAUCCAGGGCAUGAGGAUGUAAGAUCUGGGGUCCCAAGGUCUUGGGCAGCUCCACCCCUGUGGCUCUGCAGAGUACAGCCCUUGCAGGUGUUUCAUGGGUUGGCACUGAGUGCUUGAGGCUUUUCCAGGAGCACUGUGCAAGCUGUUGGUGAAUCUACCAUUCUGAGGUCUGGAGGACAGUGGGCCUCUUUUCACAGCGCCACUAGGCAGUGCCCCAAUGGGGACUCUGUGUGGGGGCUCCAACAGCCCAUUUCCCCUCUGCACUGCCCCAGUAGAGGUUUUUGAUGAGGGAUCUGCCCCCACAGCAGACUUCUGCCUGGAAAUUCAGGCAUUUCCAUACAUCCUCUGAAAUCUAGGCAGAGGCUUCCAAGCCUCAACUCUUGCCAUCUGCAGUCCUGCAGGUUUAACACCACAUGGAAGCCAUCAAGGCAUGGGGCUUGCACCCUCUGAAGCAACAUCCCAACCUGUUCCUUGGCCCCUUUUAGCCAUGGCUAGAGCUGGAGUGGCUAGGAUACAGUUUGCCAUAUCCUGAGGCUGCACAGAGCAGUGGGGCCCUGGGCCCAGACCAGGAAUCCUAGGCCUCCAGGCCUGUGAUGGGAGGGACUGCCACAAAAGUCUCCAACAUGCUCUGGAGACAUUUUCUAUAUUGUCUUGGCUAUUAACAUUCAGCUUCUUUUUCCUUAUGCAAAUUUCUGCAGCUGGCUUGAUUUUUUCCCUAGAAAAUGGGUUUUUCUUUUCUACACAGCUCACUUUUGUUCGUAA
rnacentral:lncRNA from 10 species